rnacentral:rRNA from 1 species
UACAGAGGGUGCAAGCGUUAAUCGGAAUUACUGGGCGUAAAGCGUGCGCAGACGGUUGCGUAAGUCAGAUGUGAAAGCCCCGGGCUCAACCUGGGAAUUGCAUUUGAGACUGCAUAGCUAGGGUGCGGAAGAGGGAAGCGGAAUUUCCGGUGUAGCGGUGAAAUGCGUAGAUAUCGGAAGGAACACCAGUGGCGAAAGCGGCUUCCUGGUCCAGCACCGACGUUCAGGCACGAAAGCGUGGGGAGCAAACAGG